rnacentral:rRNA from 1 species
AGUGAACGCUGGCGGCGUGCUUAACACAUGCAAGUCGAACGAGAAACGGGUCUAGCUUGCUAGAUUGCAGUCUAAGUGGCGCACGGGUGAGUAAUGUAUAGUUAAUCUGCCCCCUAGAGAGGGAUAACAGCUAGAAAUGGUUGCUAGUACCUCAUACUCCUUUGUUAUUAAUUAAUGAAGGGAAAUGAAUUUCGCUAGGGGAUGAGACUAUAUCCUAUCAGCUUGUUGGUGAGGUAAAGGCUUACCAAGGCUAUGACGGGUAGCUGGUUUUAGAGAAUGAUCAGCCACACUGGUACUGAGACACGGACCAGACUCCUACGGGAGGCAGCAGUGGGGAAUAUUGGGCAAUGGACGAAAGUUUGACCCAGCAACGCCGCGUGGAGGAUGAAGCAUUUCGGUGUGUAAACUCCUUUUAACUAAGAAGAUAAUGACGGUAUUAGUUGAAUAAGCACCGGCUAACUCCGUGCCAGCCGCCGCCGUAAUAC